AGCGUACAAGGUGGAUGCCUUGGCAAUCAGAGGCGAAGAAGGACGUGCUAAUCUGCGAAAAGCUUGGAUGAGUCGAUAAGAGGCGUUUAAUCCAAGAUAUCCGAAUGGGGAAACCCAGUAGAUGAAGAAUCUACUAUCAACAAGUGAAUACAUAGCUUGUUGAGGCAAACCGGGAGAACUGAAACAUCUAAGUACCCCGAGGAAAAGAAAUCAACCGAGAUUUCGUCAGUAGCGGCGAGCGAAAGCGAAAGAGCCAGUAAGUGAUAGCAAUAUAGUGAGGAGAAUGUGUUGGGAAACACAAUCAAAGAGGGUGAUAAUCCCGUAUCUAAAAACCAUAUUGUGGUACUAAGCUAACGAGAAGUAGGGCGGGACACGUGAUAUCCUGUUUGAAGAUGGGGGGACCAUCCUCCAAGGCUAAAUACUCCUGAUUGACCGAUAGUGAACCAGUACUGUGAAGGAAAGGCGAAAAGAACCCCGGUGAGGGGAGUGAAAUAGAACCUGAAACCUUGUACGUACAAGCAGUGGGAGCCUGAAAGGGUGACUGCGUACCUUUUGUAUAAUGGGUCAGCGACUUAUAUUUUGUAGCGAGGUUAACCGAAUAGGGGAGCCGAAGGGAAACCGAGUCUUAACUGGGCGAAUAGUUGCAAGGUAUAGACCCGAAACCCGGUGAUCUAGCCAUGGGCAGGUUGAAGGUUGGGUAACACUAACUGGAGGACCGAACCGACUAAUGUUGAAAAAUUAGCGGAUGACUUGUGGCUGGGGGUGAAAGGCCAAUCAAACCGGGAGAUAGCUGGUUCUCCCCGAAAUCUAUUUAGGUAGAGCCUUGAGGUGACACCUUUGGGGGUAGAGCACUGUUUCGGCUAGGGGUCCAUCCCGGAUUACCAACCCGAUGCAAACUACGAAUACCAAAGAGUGAUACUCAGGAGACACACGGCGGGUGCUAACGUCCGUCGUGGAGAGGGAAACAACCCAGACCGCCAGCUAAGGUCCCCAAGUCUAUAUUAAGUGGGAAACGAAGUGGGAAGGCUUAGACAGCUAGGAUGUUGGCUUAGAAGCAGCCAUCAUUUAAAGAAAGCGUAAUAGCUCACUAGUCGAGUCGGCCUGCGCGGAAGAUGUAACGGGGCUGAAAUAUAGCACCGAAGCUGCGGCAUCAGGCGUAUCACUAAUACGCCUUACGAUUAACAAGCUAGAAUGGCGCGAAGCGUCAUGAAAGGUUGUUCAAGCAACCCGAACGUUGAGUCGGGCAUCUUAGAGUAAGGAUGAUUAGUGAUACGCCUGUUGGGUAGGGGAGCGUUGUGUAAGCGGAAGAAGGUUGAUCGAGAGGUGGGCUGGACGUAUCACAAGUGCGAAUGCUGACAUAAGUAACGAUAAAACGGGUGAAAAACCCGUUCGCCGGAAGACCAAGGGUUCCUGUCCAACGUUAAUCGGGGCAGGGUGAGUCGGCUCCUAAGGCGAGGCUGAAAAGCGUAGUCGAUGGGAAACAGGUUAAUAUUCCUGUACUUGGUAAAGCUGCGAUGUGGGGACGGAGUAGGUUAGGUUAUCGCACUGUUGGAUAUGUGCGUUUAAGUUGGUAGGUGGGAAGUUUAGGCAAAUCCGGACUUCCUUAACACAGAGAGAUGAUGACGAGGCUCUACGGAGCUGAAGUAACUGAUACCACACUUCCAGGAAAAGCCACUAAGCGAAAGGCUUUACUAAACCGUACUGAAAACCGACACAGGUGGUCAGGUAGAGAAUACUCAGGCGCUUGAGAGAACUCGGGUGAAGGAACUAGGCAAAAUAGCACCGUAACUUCGGGAGAAGGUGCGCCGGCGUAGAUUGUAAGGGCUAGCCCCUGAAGGUUGAACCGGUCGAAGAUACCAGCUGGCUGCAACUGUUUAUUAAAAACACAGCACUCUGCAAACACGAAAGUGGACGUAUAGGGUGUGAUGCCUGCCCGGUGCUGGAAGGUUAAUUGAUGGUGUCAUCGAAAGAGAAGCACCUGAUCGAAGCCCCAGUAAACGGCGGCCGUAACUAUAACGGUCCUAAGGUAGCGAAAUUCCUUGUCGGGUAAGUUCCGACCUGCACGAAUGGCAUAAUGAUGGCCAGGCUGUCUCCACCCGAGACUCAGUGAAAUUGAAAUCGCCGUGAAGAUGCGGUGUACCCGCGGCUAGACGGAAAGACCCCGUGAACCUUUACUAUAGCUUGACACUGAACAUUGAAUUUUGAUGUGUAGGAUAGGUGGGAGACUUAGAAGUAGGAACGCCAGUUUCUAUGGAGUCAUCCUUGAAAUACCACCCUUUAACGUUUGAUGUUCUAACGAAGACUACGGAACGUGGUCUCGGACAGUGUCUGGUGGGUAGUUUGACUGGGGCGGUCUCCUCCCAAAGCGUAACGGAGGAGCACGAAGGUUUGCUAAUCACGGUCGGACAUCGUGAGGUUAGUGCAAUGGUAUAAGCAAGCUUAACUGCGAGACAGACAAGUCGAGCAGGUACGAAAGUAGGUCAUAGUGAUCCGGUGGUUCUGAAUGGAAGGGCCAUCGCUCAACGGAUAAAAGGUACUCCGGGGAUAACAGGCUGAUACCGCCCAAGAGUUCAUAUCGACGGCGGUGUUUGGCACCUCGAUGUCGGCUCAUCACAUCCUGGGGCUGAAGUAGGUCCCAAGGGUAUGGCUGUUCGCCAUUUAAAGUGGUACGCGAGCUGGGUUUAGAACGUCGUGAGACAGUUCGGUCCCUAUCUGCCGUGGGCGUUGGAUGAUUGAUUGGGGCUGCUCCUAGUACGAGAGGACCGGAGUGGACGCAUCACUGGUGUUCCGGUUGUGUCGCCAGACGCAUUGCCGGGUAGCUAAAUGCGGAAGAGAUAAGUGCUGAAAGCAUCUAAGCACGAAACUUGCCAAGAGAUGAGUCAUCCCUGACUUUAAGUCAGUAAGGGUUGUUGU
rnacentral:rRNA from 1 species